AAGCUUCGGUGAACGGUCCGGGUACACGAUUCGGAGGACUCUAUAGGGAACAGAAAGAUGUGAGGAGCAGGCUCUCACGCAAAGGCUGCUAAGCUUCGGUGAACGGUCCGGGUACACGAUUCGGAGGACUCUAUAGGGAACAGAAAGAUGUGAGGAGCAGGCUCUCACGCAAAGGCUGCUAAGCUUUGGUGAACGGUCCUGGUACACGAUUCGGAGGACUCUAUAUGGAACAGAAAGAUGUGAGGAGCAGGCUU